rnacentral:rRNA from 1 species
UGCCAGACUCCUACGGGAGGCAGCAGUGGGGAAUAUUGCGCAAUGGGCGAAAGCCUGACGCAGCGACGCCGCGUGGGUGAAGAAGCGCCUCGGCGCGUAAAGCCCUGUCAGCAGGGAAGAAAAUGACGGUACCUGAAGAAGAAGCCCCGGCUAACUACGUGCCAGCAGCCGCGGUAAUACGUAGGGGGCAAGCGUUAUCCGGAUUUACUGGGUGUAAAGGGGGCGCAGACGGCGAUGCAAGCCAGGAGUGAAAGCCCGGGGCCCAACCCCGGGACUGCCCUUGGAACUGCAUGGCUGGAGUGCGGGAGGGGCAGGCGGAAUUCCUGGUGUAGCGGUGAAAUGCGUAGAUAUCAGGAGGAACACCGGCGGCGAAGGCGGCCUGCUGGACCGCGACUGACGUUGAGGCUCGAAAGCGUGGGGAGCGAACAGGAUUAGAUACCCCUGUACA